AUAUCUGAAAUGAUUUUAUUUGACUUAUUCAAAGCAUGUUUAUGUUUAGAAGAAGAAAACUCAAUUUGAUAUUUGGAACCCUAAGUUAGCCGUCACCCCUUUCUCUAUUCUCAUUCUCUCUUCUCUCUUCUCCUUCUUUCGCAACGAGGAAGAGAUCAUGGUUAAAGAAGAGGAUGUGUCUGAUUUACAGACAAAGAGCAAUGAAUAAGUUAAUCCAGAGAAAUAAAUGAAAAACAAGAAAGAUGUUGCUUCAGAGAAACAUACGAUCUUCAAUCGGUACCAGAUCUUCAAAGAUUUAGAGAUUUGCACUAUAAUGGUGGUUUUGUGGGGCAAAAUGGUGAGGUUGUGAUUGCUCAGGUUUUGUCAGUGAUUUCCUAGAAGCCGAAGGUCAUUGAGGGAAGGCUCAUUAAUCACCAGACCGAGAGAGAGAAGAAAAAUGAGAUAUACUUCCAUUGAGGAAGUACGCCAUCAAAGCAUAGUACCAUAGAACAAUCACAUAUAUCAGUCGGAGACUUACAUCUUUCAUAAUUGACAAUUUUUAAUAUUUCUAUCUUUGUAUUUUCAUGCUGUUUUUAAUAAAAAAAAUUCUUCAUUAGACCAUUUUAUUACCAAAAUUAAAUAUAGCUUCGUAGGGAAGAGGAUUGACAUUUGAAAGUACAUUUCUGAAUAUAAAAGUGAGGCUAAAGAGAAUUAAGAACUUCAUGUUAUUAUUAUAAAUCAUGAGCAAUGUUGAUAUAUGUGAUGAUGGUAGAUUGAAUUUAUAUAUAUUAUCUCACAAGCCAGGUAUCUUGUCAUACAUCUUUUGAUCUUACACAUUAGCUAAUAUUUUCCAACACAUAAACAACUUUAAGUACAUAUUUGUUA